UACGGGGGGGGGCAAGCGUUUGUUCGGAAUUACUGGGCGUAAAGGGCGCGUAGGCGGCCUGCUAAGUCGGACGUGAAAUCCCUCGGCUCAACCGAGGAACUGCGUCCGAUACUGGUGGGCUUGAAUCCGGGAGAGGGAUGUGGAAUUCCAGGUGUAGCGGUGAAAUGCGUAGAUAUCUGGAGGAACACCGGUGGCGAAGGCGGCAUCCUGGACCGGUAUUGACGCUGAGGCGCGAAAGCUAGGGGAGCAAACGGG
rnacentral:rRNA from 1 species